GAUGAACGCUGGCGGCGUGCUUAACACAUGCAAGUCGAACGGAAAGGCCCAAGCUUGCUUGGGUACUCGAGUGGCGAACGGGUGAGUAACACGUGGGUGAUCUGCCCUGCACUUCGGGAUAAGCCUGGGAAACUGGGUCUAAUACCGGAUAGGACGAUGUUUUGGAUGCCAUUGUGGAAAGUUUUUUCGGUGUGGGAUGAGCUCGCGGCCUAUCAGCUUGUUGGUGGGGUAAUGGCCUACCAAGGCGUCGACGGGUAGCCGGCCUGAGAGGGUGUACGGCCACAUUGGGACUGAGAUACGGCCCAGACUCCUACGGGAGGCAGCAGUGGGGAAUAUUGCACAAUGGGCGCAAGCCUGAUGCAGCGACGCCGCGUGGGGGAUGACGGCCUUCGGGUUGUAAACUCCUUUCGCUAGGGACGAAGCGUUUUGUGACGGUACCUGGAGAAGAAGCACCGGCUAACUACGUG
rnacentral:rRNA from 1 species